AUAAGCAAAAUAAGGGCGUAUGGGGAAUGCCUAGGCUCUCAGAGGCGAAGAAGGACGUGAUAAGCUGCGAAAAGCUACGGGGAUUGGCACACACGAAUUGAUCCGUAGAUAUCCGAAUGGGGCAACCCAGUAUGUUGAAGACAUACUAUCCUGUAUAGGAGGCGAACCCGCUGAACUGAAACAUCUAAGUAGGCGGAGGAGAAGAAAACAAAAGUGAUUCCGUAAGUAGUGGCGAGCGAACGCGGAAUAGCCCAAACCAAAGUUGUUACGGCAAUUUUGGGGUUGUAGGACCACGAGAUUUCUUGCGGAUUUAAUAAGAAUUACCUGGAAAGGUAAACCGAAGAGGGUGAUAGUCCCGUAUUGGUAAGAGAAGAUAAGAAUAGUGGUAUCCUGAGUAGGUCGGGGCACGUGAAACCUUGAUUGAAACUGGCGGGACCAUCCGCUAAGGCUAAAUACUCCUGAGAGACCGAUAGUGAACCAGUACCGUGAGGGAAAGGUGAAAAGAACCGUGAAUAACGGAGUGAAACAGAUCCUGAAACCAUACGCCUACAAGCGGUCGGAGCCCCUUUGUGGGGUGACGGCGUGCCUUUUGCAUAAUGAGCCUACGAGUUACCGUUGCUGGCAAGGAUAAGUGAUUAAGUCAUGGAUCCGUAGCGAAAGCGAGUCUUAAUAGGGCGCUUAAGUCAGUAGUGGUAGACGCGAAACCGUGUGAUCUACCCAUGGGCAGGUUGAAGUUUAGGUAACACUAAAUGGAGGACCGAACCGUUUAACGCUGAAAAGUUUUCGGAUGACCUGUGGGUAGGGGUGAAAGGCCAAUCAAACUCGGAAAUAGCUCGUACUCCCCGAAAUGCAUUUAGGUGCAGCGAUGAUCGAUAGUUACUUAGAGGUAGAGCUACUGAUUGGAUGCGGGGGCUUCACCGCCUACCAAUUCCUGACAAACUCCGAAUGCUAAGUAAUGAUAAUCAUCAGUGAGGGCAUGGGUGCUAAGGUCCAUGUCCGAGAGGGAAAGAACCCAGACCAUCAGCUAAGGUCCCCAAAUGUAUGCUAAGUUGAAAAAACGCGGUUUGAUUGCCCAGACAGCUAGGAUGUUGGCUUGGAAGCAGCCAUUCAUUUAAAGAGUGCGUAACAGCUCACUAGUCGAGCGAUCGAGCAUGGAUAAUAAUCGGGCAUAAGUAUACUACCGAAGCUAUGGAUUUGCGCAUUUAGUUGCGUGAGUGGUAGGGGAGCAUUCUAACGGCGCAGAAGGUGAUUUGUGAGAAUUGCUGGAGCUUUUAGAAAAGAAAAUGUAGGCAUAAGUAACGAUAAGGGGUGCGAGAAACACCCCCGCCGUAAGACUAAGGUUUCCUCAGCUAUGCUAAUCAGCUGAGGGUUAGUCGGGACCUAAGGCACACCCGAAGGGGGACGUCGAUGGCCAACGGGUUAAUAUUCCCGUACUACUGAUAAUUGUGAUGGAGUGACACAGUGAUGAAAGCACCGCGAACUGACGGAAUAGUUCGUUGAAGCACGUACCUAUAGGUUUGAUAGUAAAAUGCGUCAGACUUGGAGAAAUGCGAUAGUACUUUGAGUCUUCGGACAACGAGAUAGUGUGCCUAAGGGCUGUCAAGAAAAGCUUCUAAACUUAGAUUAUUAGUACCCGUACCGUAAACCGACACAGGUAGUCGAGGAGAGUAUCCUAAGGCGCUCGAGAGAUUCAUGGCUAAGGAACUAGGCAAAAUAGACCUGUAACUUCGGGAGAAAGGUCGCCAGCGCAAGCUGGCCGCAGUGAAAAGGUCCAGGCGACUGUUUAUCAAAAACACAGGGCUCUGCAAAAUCGUAAGAUGACGUAUAGGGCCUGACACCUGCCCGGUGCUGGAAGGUUAAGAGGAGAUGUUAUCUUCGGAGAAGCAUUGAAUUGAAGCCCCAGUAAACGGCGGCCGUAACUAUAACGGUCCUAAGGUAGCGAAAUUCCUUGUCGG
rnacentral:rRNA from 1 species